rnacentral:lncRNA from 1 species
CUUUUGUCAUCCACCGAGUUUGCUUUCCGUGCCUUAGGCUUUUGGUUUGCGUACUCUUUGUGGAUGUUUUGGACACGUUCGUUGGGAUAUAUACCGGUUCCUCAGACCGGCAAGUAUAGGUGUCGUGCGCCUUAUUUAGGCCGGUAUCCAGUGCGGGGAAGGUUUUGCCUUGACUCCGGUUCCCUUUUGCCUUCCCCUCGUUAGCCUGGUACCGAUAUCGUUCAGGGAAUCGGAGUGGCGCACGACUUAGAAUACUUUGUACUUUUGAUCGCAUCGAGGCCGAUGCUUGUGCUAAGCAGGGGGGCAUGUUAGGUUUUCUUGUUAGUUGUUAAGUCGUUAACUUUACUCGUGGACGAUCAUUUGAGAUACGGAUAAUGUACGACCUUCCGGCGCCGCCUAGGCUCUGGAUAACUAUUUAAGUCGUUGUUGUUGUUUAGUUUGUUAUGUCAUCAUUGUUACAUCUUGUAGGUUGUUAGCUGGCUUAAGUCGCUCGGCCCUCUUUGUAAUCAUCGUGGCAUCCCAACGAGAAACGGAGCCUAUGCCCUUUCAC